rnacentral:rRNA from 1 species
UACGUAGGGGGCAAGCGUUGUCCGGAAUCAUUGGGCGUAAAGAGCGUGUAGGCGGCCAGAUAAGUCCGCUGUGAAAUCUCGAGGCUCAACUUCGAGCUGUCGGUGGAAACUGUCUGGCUAGAGUCCGGAAGAGGAGAAUGGAAUUCCUGGUGUAGCGGUGAAAUGCGUAGAUAUGCGGAGGAACACCGAUGGCGAAAGCAGUCCCCUGGGCCUGUACUGACGCUCAUGCACGAAAGCGUGGGGAGCAAACAGG